rnacentral:rRNA from 1 species
UACGGAGGGUGCAAGCGUUGUCCGGAAUCAUUGGGCGUAAAGCGCACGUAGGCGGUUCUUUAAGUCUCUUGGUGAAAGGCUGGGGCUCAACCCCAUGCAUGCCGGGGAUACUGGAGGACUGGAGACAGGUAGAGGCCAGCGGAAUUCCGGGUGUAGCGGUGGAAUGCGUAGAGAUCCGGAAGAACACCGGAGGCGAAGGCGGCUGGCUGGACCUGAUCUGACGCUGAGGUGCGAAAGCGUGGGGAGCGAACAGG